CGAAAGGGGCAGUAAGGCGAUGGGUAACCUGCCCCGGACUUCGGAAUAGCCUCCCUAACGGGUGGAUAAUACCGAAUGCCGUGCCGAGGGGGCAUCCCCUUGGCACGAAAGCUCCGGCGGUCCGGGAGGGGCUCAUGUGGUAUUAGCUAGUUGGUGAGGUAACGGCUCACCAAGGCGAAGAUGCCUAGCGGGUGUGAGAGCACGACCCGCGCCACUGGCACUGUGACACUGGCCAGACUCCUACGGGAGGCUGCAGUCGAGGAUCUUCGGCAAUGGGCGAAAGCCUGACCGAGCGAUGCCGCGUGUGCGAUGAAGGCCUUCGGGUUGUAAAGCACUGUCGUGGGGGAGAAAGGGGCAACCCUGAUCGACCCCAGGAGGAAGCUCGGGCUAAGUUCGUGCCAGCAGCCGCGGUAAGACGAACCGAGCGAACGUUAUUCGGAAUCAUUGGGCUUAAAGGGCGCGUAGGCGGGCCUCCAAGUCAGGGGUGAAAUCCCACGGCUCAACCGUGGAAGAGCCUUUGAUACUGGGGGCCUCGAGCGAG
rnacentral:rRNA from 1 species